UACAUGUGGGGCAAGCGUUGUUCGGAAUUACUGGGCAUAAAGGGUGCGUAGGCGGCUUGUUAAGUCAGGGGUGAAAGUUUUCGGCCCAACCGGAAAAUUGCCUUUGAUACUGGCGAGCUUGAGUGCGUGAGGGGUAACCGGAACGAGUGGUGUAGCGGUGAAAUGCGUAGAUAUCGAGAGGAACACCAGUGGCGAAGGCGAGUCCCUGGACAACACCUGACACUGAGGCACGAAAGCUAGGGGAGCAAACAGG
rnacentral:rRNA from 1 species